GGUUAAGCGACUAAGCGUACACGGUGGAUGCCCUGGCAGUCAGAGGCGAUGAAGGACGUGCUAAUCUGCGAAAAGCGUCGGUAAGGUGAUAUGAACCGUUAUAACCGGCGAUGUCCGAAUGGGGAAACCCAGUGUGAUUCGUCACACUAUCGUUAACUGAAUACAUAGGUUAACGAGGCGAACCGGGGGAACUGAAACAUCUAAGUACCCCGAGGAAAAGAAAUCAACCGAGAUUCCCCCAGUAGCGGCGAGCGAACGGGGAGCAGCCCAGAGUCUGAAUCAGCUUGUGUGUUAGUGGAACGGUCUGGAAAGUCCGACGGUACAGGGUGAUAGUCCCGUACACCAAAAUGCACAGGCUGUGAACUCGAAGAGUAGGGCGGGACACGUGGUAUCCUGUCUGAAUAUGGGGGGACCAUCCUCCAAGGCUAAAUACUCCUGACUGACCGAUAGUGAACCAGUACCGUGAGGGAAAGGCGAAAAGAACCCCGGCGAGGGGAGUGAAAAAGAACCUGAAACCGUGUACGUACAAGCAGUGGGAGCACCUUCGGGUGUGACUGCGUACCUUUUGUAUAAUGGGUCAGCGACUUAUAUUCUGUAGCAAGGUUAACCGUAUAGGGGAGCCGCAGGGAAACCGAGUCUUAACUGGGCGUUAAGUUGCAGGGUAUAGACCCGAAACCCGGUGAUCUAGCCAUGGGCAGGUUGAAGGUUGGGUAACACUAACUGGAGGACCGAACCGACUAAUGUUGAAAAAUUAGCGGAUGACUUGUGGCUGGGGGUGAAAGGCCAAUCAAACCGGGAGAUAGCUGGUUCUCCCCGAAAGCUAUUUAGGUAGCGCCUCGUGAAUUCAUCUUCGGGGGUAGAGCACUGUUUCGGCUAGGGGGUCAUCCCGACUUACCAACCCGAUGCAAACUACGAAUACCGAAGAAUGUUAUCACGGGAGACACACGGCGGGUGCUAACGUCCGUCGUGAAGAGGGAAACAACCCAGACCGCCAGCUAAGGUCCCAAAGUCAUGGUUAAGUGGGAAACGAUGUGGGAAGGCACAGACAGCCAGGAUGUUGGCUUAGAAGCAGCCAUCAUUUAAAGAAAGCGUAAUAGCUCACUGGUCGAGUCGGCCUGCGCGGAAGAUGUAACGGGGCUAAACCAUGCACCGAAGCUGCGGCAGCGACACUAUGUGUUGUUGGGUAGGGGAGCGUUCUGUAAGCCUGCGAAGGUGACCUGUGAGGGUUGCUGGAGGUAUCAGAAGUGCGAAUGCUGACAUAAGUAACGAUAAAGCGGGUGAAAAGCCCGCUCGCCGGAAGACCAAGGGUUCCUGUCCAACGUUAAUCGGGGCAGGGUGAGUCGACCCCUAAGGCGAGGCCGAAAGGCGUAGUCGAUGGGAAACAGGUUAAUAUUCCUGUACUUGGUGUUACUGCGAAGGGGGACGGAGAAGGCUAUGUUAGCCGGGCGACGGUUGUCCCGGUUUAAGCAUGUAGGCUGGUUAUCCAGGCAAAUCCGGAUAAUCAAGGCUGAGGUGUGAUGACGAGGUACUACGGUGCUGAAGUAACAAAUGCCCUGCUUCCAGGAAAAGCCUCUAAGCAUCAGGUAACAUCAAAUCGUACCCCAAACCGACACAGGUGGUCAGGUAGAGAAUACCAAGGCGCUUGAGAGAACUCGGGUGAAGGAACUAGGCAAAAUGGUGCCGUAACUUCGGGAGAAGGCACGCUGGUGUGUAGGUGAAGUCCCUGCGGAUGGAGCUGAGACCAGUCGAAGAUACCAGCUGGCUGCAACUGUUUAUUAAAAACACAGCACUGUGCAAACACGAAAGUGGACGUAUACGGUGUGACGCCUGCCCGGUGCCGGAAGGUUAAUUGAUGGGGUUAUCCGUAAGGAGAAGCUCUUGAUCGAAGCCCCGGUAAACGGCGGCCGUAACUAUAACGGUCCUAAGGUAGCGAAAUUCCUUGUCGGGUAAGUUCCGACCUGCACGAAUGGCGUAAUGAUGGCCAGGCUGUCUCCACCCGAGACUCAGUGAAAUUGAACUCGCUGUGAAGAUGCAGUGUACCCGCGGCAAGACGGAAAGACCCCGUGAACCUUUACUAUAGCUUGACACUGAACAUUGAGCCUUGAUGUGUAGGAUAGGUGGGAGGCUUUGAAGCGUGGACGCCAGUCUGCGUGGAGCCAACCUUGAAAUACCACCCUUUAAUGUUUGAUGUUCUAACGUUGGCCCCUUAUCGGGGUUGCGGACAGUGUCUGGUGGGUAGUUUGACUGGGGCGGUCUCCUCCCAAAGCGUAACGGAGGAGCACGAAGGUUAGCUAAUCCUGGUCGGACAUCAGGAGGUUAGUGCAAUGGCAUAAGCUAGCUUGACUGCGAGCGUGACGGCGCGAGCAGGUGCGAAAGCAGGUCAUAGUGAUCCGGUGGUUCUGAAUGGAAGGGCCAUCGCUCAACGGAUAAAAGGUACUCCGGGGAUAACAGGCUGAUACCGCCCAAGAGUUCAUAUCGACGGCGGUGUUUGGCACCUCGAUGUCGGCUCAUCACAUCCUGGGGCUGAAGUAGGUCCCAAGGGUAUGGCUGUUCGCCAUUUAAAGUGGUACGCGAGCUGGGUUUAGAACGUCGUGAGACAGUUCGGUCCCUAUCUGCCGUGGGCGCUGGAGAAUUGAGGAGGGCUGCUCCUAGUACGAGAGGACCGGAGUGGACGCAUCACUGGUGUUCGGGUUGUCAUGCCAAUGGCACUGCCCGGUAGCUAAAUGCGGAAGAGAUAAGUGCUGAAAGCAUCUAAGCACGAAACUUGCCCCGAGAUGAGUUCUCCCUGAGACUUUAAGUCUCCUGAAGGAACGUUAAAGACGAUGACGUUGAUAGGCCGGGUGUGUAAGCGCAGCGAUGCGUUGAGCUAACCGGUACUAAUGAACCGUGAGGCUUAACCUU
rnacentral:rRNA from 1 species